rnacentral:sRNA from 1 species
GAGAGCACUCCUUUGAGCGGCUGGCAGGAAGCCGGGUGACUUAUGGUCUUUUUGGCCUGGGUGGUUAGCACAGUAUAUGCCUGGCUGAUGCUGAUAAUGACAGUCUGCCUCCUACUCCCAAAUAAUCGCUAUAGUAUGACAAUCUCUUGCUGCUUGAGGAGUAGAAGGCAGGCAGAGAACAGAUUCAAUUUGUCUUGGAUAGAAGGUUGCACAGGAGAAGUACCAAAAGAGCUAAAAGAACAGAGACCGCACAGCUAACCUCAAAUCUAGCCUCAAAUCUAAACCUGUAUCUGCUUGGAGAAGAGAUAGGGAGAUUCUUUGAUUGUGGGGUUCCUCUUGCUUCGGUUUGUAUUCCAGUGUACUGUACUGUACUACUGGUAGUUAGGUUGGACGUAGAAGUUAUGUAUAAAUUAUUCCUGUGAAUAACGAAGUAGUGCCAUUUGGUGGGGUGGGUGGGGUAAUCAACCCUACAUUGAAGUUGGUGUUCACUUACUAGCGGUUAAAUUAUUGUAGUUAGUAUCAUUGCCAGCCAAAAAAAGAAAUCCUAAUCCAAGACGAUAUAAUUUCCAUCCAAGGAAGGCCACAUCACCAUAGCAAUAUCACCGCCUACUGUAAACUAUACCGAUACGGCUUUUCCUAAUGGCCUCCGAAAAUCCGAGAAAAACCCCCAAUUCCAUCUAUAUUCCUACUACCGCUCCUCCUGCUCCGCCCGCCUCCGUAUCGCCCUGAACCUCAAACAAAUCCCCUACACAACCACGUUUGUAAACCUGCUGAAGGGUGAACAACUUUCACCAGCCCACCGCGCGCUGAACCCUUCCGCUACGGUUCCAAUUCUCAUCAUCACCUCAAGCUCUAAUCCCAACCCAACCACCUUCAGUAGCAUGACUGACAACCUAAUGACCUCCAUCACAAUCGGCCAAUCCAUUGCUGCGCUUGAAUAUCUUGAAGAGAUAUCCAUCAAUACAGAUACAAAUACAACCCCCCUCCUCCCCCCAUCCACCUCACCACAUGCCCGCGCCCAAGUCCGCACCCUUGUAAAUAUCAUAGCCUGCGAUAUCCAGCCUGUCACAAACCUGCGGAUCCAGCAGCGAGUCAAAGCCCUGGGCGCAGAUAACACUCUCUGGGCUCAUGAGCUGAUGGAAGCUGGAUUUGCGGCACUCGAAGCGCAGAUGUUGACCAGUGCAGGCCAGUAUUCAGUUGGUGAUGCUGUAUCAAUGGCAGAUGUGUGCCUGGUGCCAGCAGUGUGGGCAGCGCAGAGGUUUGGGGUAGAUUUGGGGACAUUUCCCACCGUGUCCAGGGUGGCGGAGAUGUUGGAAAGUUUGGAGGCGGUGAGAAGGGCGCAUUGGGCGAGGCAGCCAGACACACCAGAAGAGUUAAGGGCAGUGGAUUGACUUUUUUUUUUUUUUUCCUUUUUCAACAUGUGGAUUGAUUGCUUCUAUCUGUGUCGAGGUCGGUUCUGUAUAUAUUUAGCAUUUAAGGCUUAUAUUUCAUAUCUUCAAGAAACCAUUUUCUUUGGCAAGACUACAGUGUACAUUAUUUAACUAAACAUGAAAUUAAUAAUCCGUUGAUAUCUAGAUCUGAGGAGCUGGUAAAAUGAUGCCAGCGCAGUCACCAAAGCCAACGUAGCUACCCUCCUUCCCACAUGCACCACGAAGAAUAACCUCAUCACCAUCCUGCAAGAAAACUCGUUCAGAUCCGUCUGCAAGCUUGAUCGGAUUCUUCCCACCAUUGGUGUUCUCCAAAAAACUCCCCAGAGUCCCAGGUCUGUCUCCUGAGAUUGUCCCACUGCCUAAAAGAUCACCGGUUCGCAUGUUACAGCCAGUAAUUGAAUGAUGAGCCAACAUCUGUGAGAAUGAGAAGAGCAAGUUCUUUGAGUUUGACUCAGCAAUCUUGGUGUCCUUGCCAUCAACAACAAGAUGUACUUCAAGUGGGAUGUCAUAUACAUUUUCUAUCUUCUUCUCCUGAAGAUACGGGAGCAACGGCUUUCCGGGUUCCAAACCCUGGGUACGAAAGGGCUCCAAAGCAUCCAUCAGAACUACCCAAGGUGUGAUAGUUGUUGCAAAGUUCUUUGCAUUGAAAGGGCCCAAAGGAAUGUAUUCCCAAGCCUGGAUGUCCCUGGCAGACCAGUCAUUCAUCAGGACAACACCAAAAAGAUGAUCCUCGGCCUUGUCGAUGGGGAUCGGCUCGCCCAAUUGGUUGCCCGUGGCGACGAAGACAGCCAGCUCAAGUUCAAUGUCAAGCUUUUUGCAAGGGGAAAAUAUGGGCUCCUUGGGCGUGAUGGUUGGAUCGGAGAGGAUUUGGCCAUUGGGCCGCCGGAUGGGUUGUCCCGAGACAAUGACGGAUGAUGCUCGUCCAUGGUAGCCAACUGGUAGGUGUUUGUAGUUCGGCUGCAGAGCGUUAUCGGGCCCUCGGAAGAGGACUCCCACAUUGUAGGCAUGAUUGAGGCCGGCGUAGAAGUCUGUAUAGUCACCAAUGCUUAACGGGAGAUGGUUUGUGACAUCUUUUCGUAGAAUCAGCGCUGAUUUCUUGAGAGGUUCAUUCGUUUUCAGCAGCUCGGGGUAGGGUGUGUUUUCUUGGAAAAUUGCCUGUAGAUAUUCCCGUACGCGGCGAUGAACGGGUCUACCGAGGGCAGCAAAGUCAUUCAAUGUGGGCUGGGCGAAGACGUCGAGGUGUUGCUGGAAGGAAGGUAACUGGGCAAAGCCGCCACCAGAAGCAAAGGUGAAGAGAUCAAGAACAUAAUCACCAAUCGCAAUUGCGGGAUGGCGGUUGGUUGAGGCUGGGGUGGAUAUGAUCCCGAAGGGUAUGUUCGCUAAUGAGAACGGCGAGUCCCUGGGAAUUGGAUGCCAGGAUGCUGAUGUCAUGGUUGGGGAUGAAAGGUAUCUGAUAGAAAUCUGCCAAUUACUGCAGCGGCGGUGGGGGUGAGGGCAAGAGCGAGGCGGGGGCUGG